rnacentral:lncRNA from 1 species
UACAUUUUAGGACCAAUGUUCUUUUUCCUUUUGAUCUUAGCAAGCCAAGCUUUGCAGGGUACAGUGUGAAGAGGAGGUGCAACCUCAGCAGACUGUCAGCUUUUUAUGGGUGGUUAAGCCUGUUCUGCCAGCUAUCUGAACUCCUUUGGGGAGGGGCUCAUCUCUCCCUGCCUAGGGGUCUCUAUCCCUACAGGACUAUAAGCUUUUCUAUUAUAUGGAGACUCAGGUCAUGGAACCCUUAAGACAUGAGCUCACUUCCUUGACAACAUCUCCAAAGAGAACUUGGAACCCUUGUUAAUGGGGGUCACAAUCUAGUAACAGCCUGUCUCCCAAGCUCACUUGGCUGGAGACGGUCUACAGCGAACAUGCUGAGCUGCUUCUCCACUUCAAAAGGCUGCAGCCUCAGGACCCCAGGUAGAGAAAGUAUCUGUGAAAGACUGAGAAGACAGCUGACUCCAUCCAGAUGCCACAUGACUGUCACAGACACCCCAGGGAUGGUCUCCCCGGGAGUGACCACCAGUGACCUACCAAAAUCAAGAUGCCCCAUUUCAUGAGAAGUAUUACUUUUCCAAGGCUUGUAGUCAUAUAUUGCCUUUUCUUCAUAUAAUUUAGUUUGAAACUAAUGAAAACAUCAAAGAAAAAUAUUUAUAGACAUCCAUGUGUCCAUUUCCGAGGUAUGUAUGUUUCUCUUAAUGCCUGGAACUUGUUUUAAAACAAAAAGUAGAAUUCACAACAUAAACUUAUAGAGAAUUCUAACAUGUCAGAAAUAUGUUUAGGAUCCUGCUUUUAAGUGUUGCUCUUUUCUGUAGGGGAUUUCAGAAUGUAUAAUAAGCACCCAGGGUGUCUGUUUACCAUGUUUAUUACUGAACCCACAUUAGAAUUCUUUUGGGCUUUUGAACCUCAUUUUGAGAAACACUUUCUUCAAAAUAUUCUUUUGUCCUCCAGUUAAAUAGUAGAAAGUGUGUUCGUGAUAUAAUAUUUUAAGAUGUUACAAGCAGAAAUUUACAACUUUAUGAACAUUUUUGAAAAAAUUUUACAUGAAUGACUUCAUUAGAUACCUUCCUUGUUCCCCUCAACAAAAUCUUAUCAGUUUUCUGCCAGUGAUAUCCAAAUGAUGAGCAUUUUUCUUUGUUUAGGUUUUCACCAUUAGUCUGGGUGGUUUUUUGCUUUUCAAUUUUUUAAGUAAUAAGAUUAACUGUAUAUUUUAUAGAGAACUGCAUUACAAAUAUGUUUUCAACUAUUUUUGUAGUAUUUAAGUGUUAUGUCAGUUCUUUUCAUGUCAUAUAGAAAUUGUCCCAAAAUACUCUUAAGGGGAAUAAAUCAGUUUAUAGUCAGAAUGGUUGACAUUCUGGUGUUCUAAAAAAAAAUAUUUUGCAUAAUCUUAUAGUCAGAUCAUUUUAUGCAUAUGUAGCUUGGGUUAAAUUUCAAGUACUGUGUUCAGCACUGGUAUAUUUACUGUAUACAUUUGUUUCAUUUUGAUUUUUGUCAUGUAGAACAUUGACUUGGUCAUCAUAAUAUAAAAAAAAAAACCUACACAGGGAACCACAGCAUCAUUUUAGUCUAAAAUCUGGGAGAAGAUGAGGUAAUGUCAGUCAAUCAAUUCCUGAAGAGAUUUUAUACAAAGCUAACAAACUAGAACUUUACCCUGGAGCAGACAGGAAGUCACUGGAGACCUUUGAAAUGGAAGAUAACCUGAACAGAUUAACAUUCAGAAAAAUGACUUUAUAAACUGUGUAGACACUGGCCCGGAGAGGCUAAAACCAGUUAGAGGUAGAAAAUAAUAAAAUACAUGAAUUUUAACACUUACUGUCCCUACAUGACUUUAUUCUUUGUGU